rnacentral:rRNA from 1 species
GAUGAACGCUGGCGGCGUGCCUAAUACAUGCAAGUCGAGCGAACAGAUAAGGAGCUUGCUCCUUUGACGUUAGCGGCGGACGGGUGAGUAACACGUGGGUAACCUACCUAUAAGACUGGAAUAACUCCGGGAAACCGGGGCUAAUGCCGGAUAACAUGUUGAACCGCAUGGUUCUACAGUGAAAGGCGGCUUUGCUGUCACUUAUAGAUGGACCCGCCCCGUAUUAGCUAGUUGGUGAGGUAACGGCUCACCAAGGCAACGAUACUGACCCGACCUGAGAGAGUGAUUGGCCAAGCGGGAACUGAGACACGGACCAGACCCCUACAGGAGGCAGCAGUAGGGAAUCUUCCGCAAGGGGCGAAAGCCUGACGGAGCAACGCCGCGGGAGUGAUGAAGGUCUUCGGAUCGUAAAACUCUGUUAUUAGGGAAGAACAAAUGCGUAAGUAACUGUGCGCGUCUUGACGGUACCUAAUCAGAAAGCCACGGCUAACUACGUG